AUUGAACGCUGGCGGCAGGCCUAACACAUGCAAGUCGAGCGGAUGAAGGGAGCUUGCUCCUGGAUUCAGCGGCGGACGGGUGAGUAAUGCCUAGGAAUCAGCCUGGUAGUGGGGGAUAACGUCCGGAAACGGGCGCUAAUACCGCAUACGUCCUGAGGGAGAAAGUGGGGGAUCUUCGGACCUCACGCUAUCAGAUGAGCCUAGGUCGGAUUAGCUAGUUGGUGGGGUAAAGGCCUACCAAGGCGACGAUCCGUAACUGGUCUGAGAGGAUGAUCAGUCACACUGGAACUGAGACACGGUCCAGACUCCUACGGGAGGCAGCAGUGGGGAAUAUUGGACAAUGGGCGAAAGCCUGAUCCAGCCAUGCCGCGUGUGUGAAGAAGGUCUUCGGAUUGUAAAGCACUUUAAGUUGGGAGGAAGGGCAGUAAGUUAAUACCUUGCUGUUUUGACGUUACCAACAGAAUAAGCACCGGCUAACUUCGUG
rnacentral:rRNA from 1 species